rnacentral:lncRNA from 10 species
GCCCUUUAUAACCAUUAUCAUUUUGAAUGAAAAGUAAAUCACUGUUUCUUAGUGAUUUGGGCAUGUUUCCUGAGUUAAGGGAUCUGUCUGACAUCCGUGGUAAGCCUUGUCUUAAGUGAAUUGUGGGUAAAGACUUGUCCCAGAUGGAGUGGGAGGACAUGAAGGAUGAGGAACUACCUUCAGGACCUUCCAGUCCAUAGGCAGAGGUGGGGGAAAUUCACAGAAAAACAAAUGAGUUAAAGGGAUACUGCAGUAGUGCUGGGAAAUUCAGAGCUGUUUAAGACCUAGCAUUCACCCCUGGUAGGAAAGGCAAUCAAACACACAUCUGACUGUCAGACUGACAAAGUUCUACAGCGGAAGAAAGAAAAGGGUGAUUGUGAAAUGAAUAGACUUUCCACAGAGAAGCAGAAUAACAGUGGAAGUGGGAGAUACGCAUUUUGGGGAAAGGAAAGAGCAUGAAAAAAGAGGUAGAGGCACAAAGUACAAGGUGUGCUCAGAGAAGACUGGGACUUUGAUGUGACUGGACUGGAGUGAAAGGUGCAUGGAGUGGAGGGUUGGGAGGUGAAGAUGAAGACAAGAAAGGGAAAUUGGAGCCAGCCAGUGAAGCGCCUUCAAUGGCAAGGGGUUUGACUAAAAUCCACUGGGGUCUUAU